rnacentral:pre_miRNA from 1 species
AAUGGCACUGGAAGAAUUCACGGAUAAUGUUUGACUCCGUGGUUUCUCUGGUGCUAUAAG